GACGAACGCUGGCGGCGUGCCUAAUACAUGCAAGUUGAGCGCUGAAGGUUGGUACUUGUACCCACUGGAUGAGCAGCGAACGGGUGAGUAACGCGUGGGGAAUCUGCUUUUGAGCGGGGGACAACAUUUGGAAACGAAUGCUACUACCGCAUAAAAACUUUAAACACAAGUUUUAAGUUUGAAAGAUGCAAUUGCAUCACUCAAAGAUGAUCCCGCGUUGUAUUAGCUAGUUGGUGAGGUAAAGGCUCACCAAGGCGAUGAUACAUAGCCGACCUGAGAGGGUGAUCGACCACAUUGGGACUGAGACACGGCCCAAACUCCUACGGGAGGCAGCAGUAGGGAAUCUUCGGCAAUGGACGGAAGUCUGACCGAGCAACGCCGCGUGAGGGAAGAAGGUUUUCGGAUCGGAAAACUCUGUUUGUAGAGAAGAACGAUGGUGAGAGUGGAAAGCUCAUCAAGUGACGGUAACUACCCAGAAAGGGACGGCUAACUACGUG
rnacentral:rRNA from 1 species